UAGCCGUCCAUGUUAAGCAAUUAGGUUAAAAGACGCAAACAUAUGAAUAUCUACGGCUGCAGACACCAGUGGUACCUCUCUUCGGCAACAUCAGCAGCCGCUGCCUGAUGUUACUACAAGACCGCUUCUUUUUCUAUCGACUCCGUAGCUAGGCAACAAGUGUGUGCGAACAGCUGAAAAAGAAAUGCCACAUCGAAGUAGAGAACAUGUUAUUCGCAUCAGACAGAAGAAGAAAUAAGCAAAAGUUUAUUGCUGGAAUAUUUAAAACGGAAAGCAAAAGCAAAGAGAAGAAAACAGAUGUGAUCUAUACCAACUCAGAAGAACAGGAUAUAACAUCGUUAUUUUCAUCCCCAUCAACACAAUCGGCAUUGUUAUUACUAGUAUUAAUAUAUGUGUUUUUAUUAACAUCACCGAGUAGAAAUUGUGUACAGCGAAAGACAUAAUCAAUGAAAAAAGAAAGGAAGACUGCAAAAUAGAAUAAAGAAAAGAUUUAACAUAAAACAGAGAAGACAAGAAAACAAAAACAAACAGACAUUAAACUAACAAGGAAAUAUUAAGAUUUUUCGAAACAUUUUCAUACAAAUGAAUUUUAAUUAUUCAUUCAUUUAUAUGUACAUAUUGUGUAAUUUCGAUCAGGCUUUACAUCAGAUUCCGAAUUAAAUGAUAGAAUAAAUAUGAAAUUAGCCUGGCAACGUUAAUGGACAACAUGGCUAAAUAGAUUAUCUAUUGGAUAAAUCCAGGAAAAAUACCUAACAAUCAAGAUUUAUAAAUACUCACACGCGCACACAUAUUUGUCUUUCGUUCUUUCAUAAGAAACACCGAGGCAAUUUAAUCAAAGAAACUUGACAUCUGCAACUAAGUAACAAAAAUCUCAUGCAUCUGGAAUAUAUUGGAUUGAUAGAAUCAAAGCUUCCUCAGAUGAUCGUCACAAUGGAAAGCCUAGCAGUAAACUGUUCCUUGCAACACUGGCAUCAUCAAUAUAGAUGACACACUAGAUCAAACAACUCGACUUGAAAAAAA
rnacentral:lncRNA from 1 species